GGGCCUGUAGCUCAGGUGGUUAGAGCGCACGCCUGAUAAGCGUGAGGUCACUAGUUCAAAUCUAGUCAGGCCCA
rnacentral:tRNA from 2 species